rnacentral:siRNA from 1 species
UCAACCUCGCAUCAAGUGUUGC